UACGUAGGUGGCAAGCGUUGUCCGGAUUUAUUGGGUUUAAAGGGUGCGUAGGCGGUCUUUUAAGUCAGUGCUGAAAUAUCCCGGCUUAACCGGGAGGGUGGCAUUGAUACUGAAGGACUUGAGUAAAGUUGAGGUUGGCGGAAUUGACGGUGUAGCGGUGAAAUGCUUAGAUAUCGUCAAGAACACCGAUAGUGCAGACAGCUAACUAAGCUUUAACUGACGCUGAGGCACGAAAGUGUGGGGAUCGAACAGG
rnacentral:rRNA from 1 species